rnacentral:rRNA from 1 species
UAGGGAAUCUUCCGCAAUGGACGCAAGUCUGACGGAGCAACGCCGCGUGAGUGAAGAAGGUUUUCGGAUCGUAAAGCUCUGUUGUAAGAGAAGAACGAGUGUGAGAGUGGAAAGUUCACACUGUGACGGUAUCUUACCAGAAAGGGACGGCUAACUACGUGCCAGCAGCCGCGGUAAUACGUAGGUCCCGAGCGUUAUCCGGAUUUAUUGGGCGUAAAGCGAGCGCAGGCGGUUAGAUAAGUCUGAAGUUAAAGGCUGUGGCUUAACCAUAGUACGCCUUGGAAACUGUUUAACUUGAGUGCAAGAGGGGAGAGUGGAAUUCCAUGUGUAGCGGUGAAAUGCGUAGAUAUAUGGAGGAACACCGGUGGCGAAAGUGGCUCUCUGGCUUGUAACUGACGCUGAGGCUCGAAAGCGUGGGGAGCAAACAGGAUUAGAUACCCUGGUAGUCCACGCCGUAAACGAUGAGUGCUAGGUGUUAGACCCUUUCCGGGGUUUAGUGCCGUAGCUAACGCAUUAAGCACUCCGCCUGGGGAGUACGACCGCAAGGUUG